UCUCGGCACGGGGUUCCCUGGGAGAGGGGCGGAGGGCAGGGGGCACGCGCCCGGGGAGAGUCUGCUAGCCCUGCCUGCUCCUUAGGGCAGGCGGGGGCUGUUCAGUCAGCCGCCCAGGGGUUAAGGGGACGGAUGCAGCGCCCCGUUUGCAGCGCCCUCGAGGCAGUCAUUUAGAAGGGGGUCUCUUUGCACGCUGCUCAGCAGCCCUUCCCCCCGCAGGGAGCAUUGCCCCGCGGCAUCUACCUGCCUCCCUAAAAGCUGAUUCCUGAAUGUCAGUAGAUGCCACGGAUCUUCUGCCGCUAUUUUAAAUAAGUGAAUUACCUGCUUGGAACAACCUCCUUAUUAAAAGCGAUAAUGAAUGAGCAAAUGUAUGGCACAGAACAGUCGGACGCUGGCAAGGCACAGACUAAAUGACCUAACAGCACAGGAUGAUGAACACAGGAAGAUACAGGAUGAAGAAACAGAAUGGGUUCACAAGGCUUACACUUCACCCUGUUCCCUGAAGUUGAAGCUGUUCAGACAACAGAGAAGAGAGCUACUUGUUUUUAAUCAGUCUUUUAUUUUUAUUAUUUAUGCCAUACAUUCAUACUAUCAGACAAGAUCACAGGAAAACAGGAAGAGAAAGAAAGAGGGUCAGUUACAUUGGAAAUGUCAUCAGGUGGACUGAUAUCCAAAAAAGAUGGAAGUUUUACAACUUUGUUGUGACUGCAAAAGAUGGAAGUUGGUGGUCAACAGCCUCAACAUUGGAGACAUCACUUGAAGAAGAUGC